ensembl:lncRNA
AUUUUUUUUCGCUAGAGAUCACAUUUUCAAAACAAUAACAGAGGCAAAGCUUGAUGAUGCAAUAACUGAGCAUGAAACUAUGCACGUGCUCAGUCCUUCACUCAGUCUAGUUAAGUAUGUGUAGCAUAUUCAUGCAGAAAUGGCAUCAUUGCUGGGCAACUAUGGCCAGGGAUGAGUCAUUUCUUAAACCCAGAAUAUUUACAAAUCUUUGAGAAUGUUUGAAAUAACACAAGUACACAGCUGUACAAAAUAUAUAAUACUAUGCAAGUGGUUUUUGGAUAUUUUAUUGCAAAAAUGUUACACAUUGUGUCUUUACUCACUUUACUCAUAGUGUCUUAACAGAAAAAAAAAACGCUGCUUGCAGAAGUGCUCAGAGCACUUUUAAUAGUUUUUAUUUUUAUUGUGCAAUUUUACAAUGUACAAUAACUCUUUCAUAAAAGUAUUUAUUUAUUCUUUUAUGCCAACAUUUUUAUGAAUGUUUAAAAAUUCUUGUCAUUUUCUUUACUUUUAGAAGUUGCACCCACCAUACAAAUACAAUUCCAAAAUGCAAAGCAAACAAUAGAAGUUCAAAAACAGAAAAUCCUUCACCUGGAGGAUAAGGUUAACUCUCUGACAGAGGAGAGAAAUUAUCUUCGUGCAAGACUUGAAGAUGCUUUAAUUCAGAAGGGUCCCUCAGAAGGGGUACCUACACAGACUGCAACUACAAGAAAGAGCAGUACUUCUGAAUCUUCAAAUUUUUCAACUUCCGAGUCCUCUGAUUCUGAGCCCCCAAAACACAAAAAAAGAAAGGUUAAGGAGAAACACAGAGCGAAAAGACAUAAGAAAUCAAAGAAAUUGACUUCUGACUAUUCCAAAAGAGUGCAUACCCCAGAAGAAUCGCUGAAGAGGUACUACAAGGUAUUAAACCUUGUAAAACAGGGCCUGAGUAAGGCAGAGGCCUACAACAGACUAAACGUUGACAGGAACACAAUAGUCAUCCAGGCUCCAAUUGCAGAGUUAGCAGCAGCUAAUCCAGAAUCAUUCCGCAAGCUAAGGCAGAUGUUUAAAAAGGGAGAUAGCAUCCUGAAAUUUGCCGAAAGCUGUCUUUGUCUUUGUAAAGAAAAGGCCAAUGAGGAUGUGAUUAAACAAAUGAAAGAGGCAAAUGACCUGCUUGACAUAAAUAAAAAAUGAACGAUAAGCACACAUUAUAGUUGUUAGGGGGUUGUUCUUGUGUUAGGAAUUUGUUUAAAUCAUUUAAUCCUGACAAUGUUAUAAUGUUCAUAUAUAAAUUUUUAUUAUAAAACGUGUGUUUGCACAUUUUUAUGCAUAUGUUACAUGGGUUCACUGCAAAUUGAACAACAGUGUUUAUGUAGGCAUUUGUUUUAGGUUAAUAGUAAAUUUUAUAAGGGCAUUGAUAUUUGGAAAUGUUUAUUUUCAGGUUUUAUUUUAAUUUAUUUGAUUUUUAUUUGUUGUGCUUUACUCUUGUGCUACUUUUACAGUGCUUGUUUUUUCUUUAAUAAAUCUAGUACUUAUAUAAUGGUUGAUUUGUAC